CUCAGCAUGGAACAGGUUCUCUGUCCUCAUAACUCCAACCAAACAACGGCAGCUAGCGAGCUCCCGCGGUCCCGCCGCCGCCCCCUGGUCCUCCAAAAAACGGCUGAACCCUAAACCCUCCCUAGCUCCCGCCGCCUCGCUUAACCGCGCCCAUGGCCGCCGCCGCUCGCGCCGCCCUCCCGCGGCCCCACCUCUCUCUUUUUUCGUCCUCCCACCGCAGCCCCCAUCUGUCCCUCACGCCCUCCUCCGCCCCUCGCCUGCGCAGCGGCGCUGCCACCUCCCCUGCGCUGCAGCAGCACCACCAGGUCACCACGCGCCUGGGCGACGUGAUCGAGGCGCAGCAGUUCGACCGGGACGCGCUGAACGAGAUCUUCGAGGUGGCGCGGGAGAUGGAGGCCGUGGAGAGGGGUUCCCACGGCGCCCCCAGCCGCGUCCUCGAGGGGUACCUCAUGGCCACGCUUUUCUACGAGCCCUCCACGCGCACGCGCCUCUCCUUCGAGGCUGCUAUGCGGAGGCUCGGCGGGGAGGUCGUCACCACCGAGAAUGCGCGCGAGUUCUCUUCCGCCGCCAAGGGGGAGACACUCGAAGAUACCAUAAGAACCGUUGAGGGUUAUUCCGAUAUUAUUGUACUGAGACAUUUUGAAAGUGGAGCUGCAAGGAAAGCAGCAGAUACUGCAAAUAUUCCUGUUAUUAAUGCAGGUGAUGGACCAGGGCAACAUCCAACCCAGGCUUUGUUGGAUGUGUACACAAUAAAGAGAGAAAUUGGCACACUAGAUGGAAUUAAACUUGGUUUGGUUGGUGACCUUGCUAAUGGGAGGACAGUUCGUUCUCUGGCUUACUUGAUUGCUAAGUACCAGAACAUUAAGAUAUACUUUGUAUCUCCUGAUGUUGUUAAAAUGAAGGAUGAUAUCAAGAACUACUUAAAUUCCAAAGGUGUUGAAUGGGAAGAAAGUUCAGAUUUGUUGGAGGUGGCAUCCAAGUGUGAUGUUAUUUAUCAAACACGUAUUCAAAAAGAAAGAUUUGGUGAGAGGAUUGACCUUUAUGAAGCUGCUCGUGGCAAGUACAUCGUGGAUAAAAAGGUCUUAGAUGUGCUGCCAAAACAUGCUGUCAUCAUGCAUCCCCUUCCAAGGCUUGAUGAGAUCACAGUAGAAGUUGAUAGUGAUCAAAGAGCUGCAUAUUUUAGGCAGGCUAAGAAUGGCCUCUACAUAAGGAUGGCAUUGCUCAAACUUCUGCUUGUUGGUCACUGACAUUUCGGCUAGUGCUUUAGCUUGUGCUGCGUCAAGGGAUUAGAAGCUGUGAGGUCACGAGAAACUGAAGAUCAUCUUGGUGCCUGGAAUCUGGAGUCUCAGGUCAAGGACAGUUACCACAGGAUGAGGCGCAUGAAGGAAAAGACUAGCUAAUCCCUAAUGAUUUAGGCUACGAUUAUGAACAUGUACUAAGGUCAUAAAUGUAUUUUUAUCCGUGUUGCAUCUCGUGCCUAUAAAUAGGUGAUCAGUACCCCUGUAUUGUUCACGCUAGAUUGUAAUUGCUCUCGCGUCAACACCUUCGAACAAGCCGAAGAUAUCAAUGUAAUAUAAAUUCUGUUAGUGUUCAUGUAUAUAUCAUGAAAUACAUAUAUGAAGGAAUGAAUUACAUAUAUUAUCUCUA